rnacentral:tRNA from 1 species
UCCUAGUUAGCUCAGUUGGUAGAGUUGGUUUGAGCGCUCCACUAGAAAUAGAGAGGUCCAUGGUUCGAUACCAGGACCAGGCG